rnacentral:lncRNA from 1 species
UUUUAUAUUCUUGAUUCCUGCUGGGUUUUUAGUAUCAAUUAGUGCUGAUGAUCUUUAUUAUGUCAUGGUAUCAAGAAUAAAGGGGCUGCUUUUACAUAUUCUACUUGGUGUAAGUAAGAAGGGGUUCUAUCCUCUUUAUGACAGUUCCACGAAGGUGAAAACUCAUGAGAUUAUAUUUUUUUUCCCUUUUUAAUUUACAUCUCUCUUCAUUACUGAUCAUAAAAGUUGUAGUGUAUAUUUGGUUCCAUGUUAGAUGAAGUAAAACAUAGAUUUAUGAUCCAUAUUUAAGUUGUUAUACUUUAAUCCAACACCAUGUUCUUGUUUUACUCUUAACUAUGUCAUACAUCAACCGAUGCAUAAUUUAAAGACUCAUAAUUUUGCUAUAUAUGUGUAGUCUAUAAUGUUCUUGUAUGACUCUGAAUAUGUUUAGAUAUUUUAUUAAAAGAAUUUCGUAUUUAAAAUAGACUUAUUAAAAAAUAUCUUUUGUCAUUUAUCCCAUCUGUAGUAGUUUUAUCUUCUUUAAAUAAUUUUGUAUAUGAUGAAUUAUACCAGUUAUAAAAAAUGUUGUGUUUCUAGCGGUGGGAUCUGUUUUUCAUUAUUAUCUUUCUAGCAUUGUAGGGCAAAAGACUGUUGACAAAGAGUUACAGAUCCCACUGGCACCACCAAAAAAAACAUGCCAGACUUGACUUCUACAACUAGGAGAAAGCCUAUGCAGACCAUAGGCCAAUCAUGAGCAAAAAUUGCAGGCAAGUUGAAACAUAAAUAUAUUCUCAAAUUUGUUGUUCGAUGAAGAGACCUAAUUUUUUCUAGGCUUUUUGUGCAGAUCAUCAGCUUCAUAUAUUAAGACUUUUUUCUCCCUUCUUAAGGCUUGAUUCGUUGUUGAUUGAUAUGUCAAUUAGUGCUAAGCUUUAUUACUUCAUGGUAUAAAGCAUAAAGGAGCUUGCUUUAAAUAUUUUAGUUUAUGUUAAUAUGAAGGGUUCUAUAUGCUUUUGUUUGAUUGUAUAUGCAAUUGAAAAAAACUAUAGAUAUUAUGCUUGGUCAAUUAUGCAUAGGAUUUUG